rnacentral:lncRNA from 1 species
AUAUGUUGCUACGCAGCUUGUACACAAAAGCUCACGUCAGCACUGCUCGUUAACAGCCCCAAACUGGAAACCACCCUGAUGUCCACUAAUGGAGAAAGAGAUGAAUGGCGAUAUAUGUACAUCUACAUGUGUAUCCGCAUUUCUCUGCAAUACAAAAGGAGCAAACCACUGCUAACACAGUGUGGACUCCCAGACCAUGACUGUGAGGGAAGAAGGCGGAAACGAGUGUGCAGCGUGCAAUUUCAUUUUUAUCGUAUUCUGGAAAUGACAACGUUCUGAGCCACUACUGCUGGGUGUCUGCUCCUGGGGUACCUGCUGGCCCUGAAUCACCCCUCUGGAUUCCUGGGACUCCAGGAACUUUGGGAUCCAGAGAAGCGAGCUCUUCCAUCCCAGGACCCAUGACUGCCCACGCUGUUGAGCUUCUGAGGGCAGGGACCAUGUUUUCUCUCUCAGAGCCAGGGCUGCAUGUUGGAACUGGCCCUGACAGUGUCAGUUAAACUUUCACGAAACAAAUGUUCCUGAACUUGAAGCCAUAGGACAGGACUCUGAAGAUCACAGAAUCACACAGUGAGAAAAUGAUGCCCUUUUCAGCUCUGCACCAGUCCUUCUCAUGACAGAAAGGAGAGUGUCUCGGGUUGGUUCGAGGAUGUCUUUAACCCCUCUCAUCGUUGCCCGUCUCGACACAGAACCAAGAACAGGCGGGUCCUAGACUCAGACUCUAGUGGACGAAUGUGUCCAGCAAAAGUAACAGCAUUACUUUAUUUUACAAUUAUCUUCAACGUAUACCAAGUGAUACUGGUUUUCCAUUUAUAAUGGCAAUGUAGCUUCCCUUGAGUUUGUUUUAAAUUUUAAUUCAAUUUCAGACAUACGGAAAAGUUGCGAGCAUAGUAGAGUUCCUGGAUGCCUUUCACCCAGAUUCCCUUAGUGUUAAUAUUUUCUCCCAAUCUCUCUCUCUGUGUCUCCCCCUACCUUCCCCACCAAACUACCUACCUACCUACCUACCUACACACACACACACACACACACACACACACACACACACUUUUUUUCUGAAUUAUUUAAAAGCAUGCUGUUCUUUCACUGCCAGUCCUGGUAAUGUCCUUUAUGGCAAAAGAAAACCCCAGGCCAUGCCUUGCGUUCAGUUGGGAUCCCUCUUUUUUUUUCCUUUUUUUGCCAUAGAGUUUCAUUCUUGUCACCCAGGCUGGAGUGCAAUGGCGUGGUCUCGGCUCACUGCAACCUCUGCCUCCCGGGUUCAAGCGAUUCUCCUGUCUCAGCCUCCCGAAGUGCUGGGAUUACAGGCACCCACCACCACGCCCGGCUAAUUUUUUGUAUUUUUAGUAGAGAUGGGGUUUCACCAUGUUGGCCAGGCUGGUCUUGAACUCCUGACCUCAGGUGAUCCGCCUGCCUCGGCCUCCCAAAGUGCUGGGAUUACAGGUGUGAGCCACCGCACCAGGCCUCUUUUACCUCUAAAUGUGUCAGUACUCCAGUGUGUAUUUCCUAAAAGCAAGACUAUUUUAUUACAUAAGUAUAGUACACUUUUCAAAAUCAGGGAACUAACACUGAUAUAACCCUGUAGUCACUAGACCUCCUUCCUGUUUCACUGCCUGUCCUUGUAAUGUCCUUUAUGGCAAAAGAAAACGUCAGGUCAUGCCUUGCCUUCACUCGGGAUGCCUCUUUGACUCUUUUCAUCUGAAACAGUUUUUGAGUCUUUGUAUUCUAUGACAUUGGCAUUUUUGAAAAGUACCUGCCAGAUAUUUUUUAAGAUGUCUAAAAAUUCCUUUUUAAAUAAAUUUAAGUUUUAAAUAA